UACGAAGGGGGCUAGCGUUGUUCGGAAUUACUGGGCGUAAAGCGCGCGUAGGCGGCUCGAUCAGUCAGGGGUGAAAUCCCAGGGCUCAACCCUGGAACUGCCUUUGAUACUGUCGAUCUGGAGUAUGGAAGAGGUGAGUGGAAUUCCGAGUGUAGAGGUGAAAUUCGUAGAUAUUCGGAAGAACACCAGUGGCGAAGGCGACUCACUGGACACAUAUUGACGCUGAGGUGCGAAAGCGUGGGGAGCAAACAGG
rnacentral:rRNA from 1 species